AUUGAACGCUGGCGGCAGGCUUAACACAUGCAUGUCGAGCGGGGGGAAGGUAGCUUGCUACCUAACCUAGCGGCGGACGGGUGAGUAAUGCUUAGGAAUCUGCCUAUUAGUGGGGGACAACAUUUCGAAAGGGAUGCUAAUACCGCAUACGCACUACGGGGGAAAGCAGGGGAUCUUCGGACCUUGCGCUAAUAGAUGAGCCUAAGUCGGAUUGGCUAGUUGGUGGGGUAAAGGCCUACCAAGGCGACGAUCUGUAGCGGGUCUGAGAGGAUGAUCCGCCACACUGGGACUGAGACACGGCCCAGACUCCUACGGGAGGCAGCAGUGGGGAAUAUUGGACAAUGGGGGGAACCCUGAUCCAGCCAUGCCGCGUGUGUGAAGAAGGCCUUUUGGUUGUAAAGCACUUUAAGCGAGGAGGAGGCUACCGAGAUUAAUACUCUUGGAUAGUGGACGUUACUCGCAGAAUAAGCACCGGCUAACUCUGUGCCAGCAGCCGCCGUAACAC
rnacentral:rRNA from 1 species